rnacentral:misc_RNA from 1 species
AAGCAUGAUGAACUAGUCAACUCAUAUUCAUGUGGGUUAUGCUCCAUUUUUCUUUUGACCUCCGCACCCAAUAGAUCUUAUACUUUUGAGUUGGAUCAAGUUUCUCUCACAAAGUUGAAUAAAAUGCAUUUGCAAUGUGGAUUUAUCUUGCUAGACAUGGUCUAUCAUGAACCCAAGAUACAAUAUGUAUGAUGUGAUCCACUUAUUAAAUAUAUGAUCUCACAUAUUUGUGCCUUGAAUCUAUAAUAACUAAGUCUAGGCAAGAAUUUUCCAAUAAUCUAAUGAAGAAUCACAAAGUGCUCCUAAACAUCCUGCUCUAUCCAAACCCCUCAGGACUAAUUAUGCUGAUAUAAUCUUGUGAUAAUUGCAAGCGUAAUGUUUGUGUGUGUGUG